rnacentral:snoRNA from 1 species
ACGACUAUACUUGAACAGGAUCUGUUCUAUAGUUCGUACAUCUUGAUCUGUGAUCUCUACCGCAGUCAAGUCCCUUAACCCGGACGAUGACCAGGGUCUUGGAUGCCGGUGCGCGAAUACCGUAGGCCGGGCGUGGUACGAACCCAUGCUCAGCUCAGCCUGAUGACCGUCCCGCCGCGCCCAUUCCGCCGGCGUUGAAGGCAUCCAAGCGUUCUGACGGGUG